GUCAACAGACCCUGUAAGAGUCUCUGAUUGGACUGGAGUGACAAACCAAGGAGGAAUCGAAGAAAAAGAUCCAGGUGUCCAUUAUCACUCUCUAGUGCCUUGUCCACUGCAGUCUUGAGCAAAUCAAUCAUGGUUUUUUGGGGGUGGAGUGACAGUCUGAGAACGGAUUGAAGGAAAUGGUA